rnacentral:tRNA from 1 species
GGGCGCUUAGCUCAGCCGGUAGAGCAUCUGACUUUUAAUCAGGGGGUCACAGGUUCGAUUCCUGUAGCGCCCACCA